AAUUGCAGAAUCCCGUGAACCAUCGAGUCUUUGAACGCAAGUUGCGCCCGAAGCCAUCUGGCCGAGGGCACGUCUGCCUGGGCGUCACGC
rnacentral:rRNA from 1 species